ACGUUUCUCUCCUCUUCCAUGAAAGCUUCUCUCAAGCUUCCAUCACUCUCCUAAACUAACCUCAAUUUUUGUGCUCUACACAACCUGUUAUAGGGUUUUUCAUACUCUUUUACUUCCUCACCUUAAACAAACCCUUAAAAGUCUUUCUUUAAUACUUUCUCUCACCAAUUGAACUUUGUAGAGAGAGAAAAAGAGGUUUCAUGAUAGCUUGAGGACUCGUGAGAAGAAAUUUCAUUACAAUCCACCAAGGUGAGUAAUGAAUUAUGACUGGUUUUAAGUUGUUGAUAAAGGCUAAUAAUUAGAGUUAUGAAUUGUGUAUUGUUGAAGUUGUUUAGCUAUUUCUAGUGUUACUAAAGUAGAGAACUGAAUAGCCAAUCAAAUGGUAAUGGAAGAUAGAUAGGAAAGGCUAGUGAAGCUUGAUUUGGGAAAAUAGCAUUUGGAGUGAUAUUAAUGUAAAUUGGAUUGGCUGUGAUGUUUUUGUGCGUGAUAGGUUCCAACGAGGCCCUCAGCCCUAUUUAAACCAUUAGUCGAAGUUAGAGC
rnacentral:lncRNA from 1 species